ACUAUGGAGAGUUUGAUCCUGGCUCAGGACGAACGCUGGCGGCGGGCUUAACACAUGCAAGUCGAACGAGAAAGGGUUCUUCGGAACCCGAGUAAAGUGGCGAACGGGUGCGUAACACGUAGGUAACCUGCCCUUGAGUGGGGAAUAACUACCGGAAACGGUAGCUAAUACCGCAUGAAGACCGGGGAUCGCAUGAUCUCCGGUUGAAAGACUUCGGUUGCUCAAGGAUGGGCCUGCGGCGGAUUAGCUUGUUGGUGAGGUAAAGGCUCACCAAGGCUACGAUCCGUAGCUGGUCUGAGAGGAUGAUCAGCCACACUGGCACUGAGACACGGGCCAGACUCCUACGGGAGGCAGCAGUGAGGAAUCUUGCGCAAUGGAGGAAACUCUGACGCAGCCACGCCGCGUGAAGGAAGACACCCCUAUGGGGCGUAAACUUCUUUUAUAUGGGAAGAACCCCCUGCCCGGCAGGGUCUGACGGUACCAUAUGAAUAAGCACCGGCUAACUCCGUGCCAGCAGCCGCGGUAAUACGGAGGGUG
rnacentral:rRNA from 2 species